GAGUAGUGAGUAUUGAGUUAGAGUUGGACCUUUUGGCAGCCACCGGCAACACACCUACUUACUUUCUUUCUUUCUCCCCAUUCUUCACUUCAUAUAUGUCAGGCUCGCGGGGCCCAGUGCCUCUACUGCUGCUGGACUUUCGUAUAUCAUCAUCUCGUCUCCCACCACUCCUAUUGCAUCUUCUUCUUCUUCCGAGUGCCAACAUCUGUUGUUGUUGGGAGUUGUUCAUCUCUCUCCUCUGCUUCUCUCUCCCUCUCGGUUUCUUUUCCUUUCACACCUAGAAAACCAAUCCACCUAACCAAAAUAACAAAUAAUUAAAUAAAUAUCCCCUUUCUCCUUCUAUCUCUCUCUCUCCCUCUCUUCCUUCUUCCUUUCUCAACCUUUUUACUCCUGUCCUCUCCAGAAACCCUAAUAUCUUCGUCCAAUCUUUUUUUUUUAUUGCAAAACGAGAAUAGGAAGAUAUGAUGGUUCUUUAAGCAAAAAAGAAAGAAAACAAAGUAGCCUCAGAAGCUAUGUUUUGAUACAUAUCUCUCUAGCCGCCCCACCUCCAUAGUCCAUACUCCUUUCUACUUUCUACUUCUUUUCUGUGGUGGGAAAAGCUACUAGCUAAGCUAGCUAGGUCCACAAUAUUAGCCAGCCCUUUUUUUGCUUAUACACUACAUAUGCUGUUCCUUUGUGCCUAGCUGAGAUUCAAGGCAUACUGAAGAAAGAAAGAGAGAAAGAAAGAAGAAGGUCAUAGCUAGAUGCAACCUUUGAUGGAUGUAGAAAGCUGUUGAUUACCCAAAAGAAAACGCAGGCAGGCAUAUCAAGAGGUAAGUAAGAAGCAAAGAGGAUCUGGAUGAAGAAACCAUGACGUAGUAUGCUUUUAUUCUGGAUUGAUGCAACCAAACUCAUUUGUCUUCUUCAUACUCUCUAAACUUUCAGACGCCUGUUGUGUUGCUCGAUCUGUGCAACUAAACUAUAUGAUCAUCAUCUCUCUGCUUGUUUGUUUAUAGGUUUGAGUACAAGGGAUGGAUUCAGGAAACAGUAACUGCACCUUGCAAUCCUCUAGUGGCGGGGAAGAAGAAGAAGAAGAAGAAGAAGAAGAAAAAGAAGAAGAAGAAGAAGAAGAAGAAGAAGAAGAAGAAGAAGAAGAAGAAGAAGAAGAAGAAGAAGAAGAAGAAGAAGAAGAAGAAGAAGAAGAAGAAGAAGAAGAAGAAGAAGAAGAAGAAGAAGAAGAAGAAGAAGAAGAAGAAGAAGAAGAAGAAGAAGAAGAAGAAGAAGAAGAAGAAGAAGAAGAAGAAGAAGAAGAAGAAGAAGAAGAAGAAGAAGAAGAAGAAGAAGAAGAAGAAGAAGAAGAAGAAGAAGAAGAAGAAGAAGAAGAAGAAGAAGAAGAAGAAGAAGAAGAAGAAGAAGAAGAAGAAGAAGAAGAAGAAGAAGAAGAAGAAGAAGAAGAAGAAGAAGAAGAAGAAGAAGAAGAAGAAGAAGAAGAAGAAGAAGAAGAAGAAGAAGAAGAAGAAGAAGAAGAAGAAGAAGAAGAAGAAGAAGAAGAAGAAGAAGAAGAAGAAGAAGAAGAAGAAGAAGAAGAAGAAGAAGAAGAAGAAGAAGAAGAAGAAGAAGAAGAAGAAGAAGAAGAAGAAGAAGAAGAAGAAGAAGAAGAAGAGUAUUAUGAUUCAAGGCCUAAUCAUCAAGUUCAAGCAUCAACCCUUUCAUCUUCUUCUAAUUUGAUGAAUCCAUUUGGGAGUUUUUCCUCCUCC
rnacentral:lncRNA from 1 species